GUAUCAAUUUGUUGUGGGGAUAUGAAGUGCACGUGUGUAUCAAUACCUCCAGCUGUAACGAUUUUUCGCUCACCAGAAAUUACUUCCGUUGAUGUUCCAAUGAUGAUAUCAAUAUUAUCCAUAACUGAAGGAUUACCACUCUUACCAAUUGCUGAAAUCUUUCCAUCUUUUAUACCAAUAUCUGCUUUAUAUACUCCUGUAUAAUCAAUAAUAAUUGCAUUGGUAAUAACAACAUCCACAACACCCUGUUCCCUUGUAAGUUGCGAAUUUUGUCCCAUACCAUCCC
rnacentral:sRNA from 1 species